rnacentral:tRNA from 1 species
ACCUUCGUGGUGUAGUGGUCAACACGUUCGGGGCGUAUUCGAGAGAUCCGUGGUUCGAGUCCCGGCGAGGGCA